GGAUGUGAGGGCAAUCUAGCUGCAACAUCUGUCACCCCACUGGAUAGCCAGGGUUGAUUCAGCUGAUGUGGCUGGCUAGGCAGGUGUCUCUUUCCUUCCUCACCACUCUAUGUGCUUCCCUCCUGAAGCUGCACGCUGGGAAAAGGAGCACCUUCCACCAUAGGGGAGGACCAUUCUUCAGUCAAGGGUAUAGGAGUUGCUGCACUUCCCUGUUGGAACCUCCAAACAAGCUCUCAUGGUACAUAUGUAGGAGAAGGCAGGGUAGUCAAGCUUCCAAGACUCCAGACACACCCAAAUGCGGCACUACAUGUGGCAGUCUGUCUUUCUCU
rnacentral:snRNA from 1 species